AUGGUUCAAACAAAUCAAAUUUCCAAAAACACAUCUCUUUAAGUCUUCUUUACGUAAAAGAGGAAGAAGCCAAAACAUGGAAUGACAGCAAAUUUCUCUUCUAUUUCCUGCAGUUUGAAGAAUCUUACCUAGAAAAAAAGGAGGAUCUAACAAAGUUACAGAAUGGCAACUACCCACUGCGCUAGCUUCAGCUUCCAUCUUCCUGAACAUGAUAAUCAUGUUUCCUCCAAUCCACAUUACAUGUCUGUGCUCUUCACCUGGCCUGUCAAAAGAAAUCCGAGCUAGGGGUGGGUAGCAUUUGCAGUCCUGCUGUCCUUUAGGAAUAAUGACUUGAUACCUGUGCUACACGCUGCCUGUCAAAAAGUAUUUUGGGACACUAGUGUUAUAGAUACAUUUUAUAUUGUUGGCUUUUCGCAAAUAUUAAAAUGAAUGUUAUGUGUGUAAGAAUGAGAAAUUUUGUUGUAUUAAUAUUGUUUUCUUUAUUUCUGUUUUUUAUGAAAUUUAGAAAUAGUAGUAUAAUACAUAUAUGUUAGGUUAUGGCAUAGUAUUAAAAUAAAAACUGCCUUUGUUUGUAUAACCCAAGGACUGACGAAAAAAAAAUAGCUAGAGACUCCUGCAUUUGUAAACUAUCUUAUCCAGAUGAAGACAGCAGUGACCAGAACUCUGGGGGGAGGAAUUUAUUGCAUUCCUGGUAUCAGAGAAUGUAAAUCUCAGUGGCGCCAAGAAGAUUGAUCUAUUGGGAAGGGGGCAAAAGAAAACUGAACAGAAGAACACCAACGAUCCUAAGAAGAAUGUAUGAAUAUAUAUGAGAAUUUAUGGAUAUGUAGUAGGGUUCUGUUUUUAAGGGACAAUCCUUUGUUAGUAAGGUGUGCUCUCUUAGCUGAAUUCAGAGACACCCGUCUGUAUCUGUAUGCUUUAUUUUUUUCUCCUAAUUGUUUUUUUAUUAAACUUUUAAAUUCUAUAAAAAUUAUGUGAACCUAAUUUUUCACACUAGCAUAAAGGUAAAUGCAACCUUACUAGCAGAGCAUAUCCCUGCAUAAUUGUCUUGCAUAGGAUACAAAAAGGGAUAAAGCUGAGCAGUUAUCUUAGUCAAGAAAUAUGAUUCCCUAAAGCAAAAACACUUCCCUGCUUCUCUGAUCUGAAAGACAUACCUCUCUGAAGGUAUCAUGCUAGGACAAGGAUUCUGUAAUCUUGCAAAAGAGUUGUAUGGCUCCAUCCUCAUGCCCGUUGAUAUUUGGGUCUUGCAGGAAUCUCAUGGAACUCCCUCAUGGUUCUGAUUCCAUGCCUGUAUAGAUGAGAUGCCAUUUGUCAAGUUAAUAAAGUAGUCACAAAGACA